GACGAACGCUGGCGGCGUGCCUAAUACAUGCAAGUAGAACGCUGAAGGAGGAGCUUGCUUCUCUGGAUGAGUUGCGGACGGGUGAGUAACGCGUAGGUAACCUGCCUGGUAGCGGGGGAUAACUAUUGGAAACGAUAGCUAAUACCGCAUAAGAGUAGAUGUCGCAUGACAUUUGCUUAAAAGGUGCAAUUGCAUCACUACCAGAUGGACCUGCGUUGUAUUAGCUAGUUGGUGAGGUAACGGCUCACCAAGGCAACGAUACAUAGCCGACCUGAGAGGGUGAUCGGCCACACUGGGACUGGGACACGGCCCAGACUCCUACGGGAGGCAGCAGUAGGGAAUCUUCGGCAAUGGACGGAAGUCUGACCGAGCAACGCCGCGUGAGUGAAGAAGGUUUUCGGAUCGUAAAGCUCUGUUGUAAGAGAAGAACGGGUGUGAGAGUGGAAAGUUCACACUGUGACGGUAUCUUACCAGAAAGGGACGGCUAACUACGUG
rnacentral:rRNA from 1 species